UUACAAAGAUGAUUAGAUUGCUGAUGGUUGGGCGCAAAUAUGAAACCUUCAACGAUCUCUACAACAAUUUUAGGGCUUAUAAAAUCUUUAUUCUGUUCUGAAGUUAUAUUUAUCAAUUUCUCAGUGAUUUGAAGGUUACAACGAGCUAAGAUCCAAUGUUUUCGCGACCACUUGUUAAACAAACAACAACAACUGUUUCUAUGACCACAUGUCCGACUAAGAUCCAACACCUUUAGUCUCGUCCUGGCCCGAACUAAUUUUAGAACACGUUUGAUCCAAACCCGUUACCCAGCCCAGUCUGACCCAUUUUACCUGGUAUAUGUCUACACAAUAACCCAUAAGGUAAAUAAUCAUCCUAAAUUACAAAAAUGCCACCAACAACAGUUCUAAUUCGUGCACUUUGUGGAUUUCCAUGGUAUGUCAACGAAAGGGGAUAAGAUGUUUGCAGCUUUGAUAAUUGGUUUGGCUGUGUUUGCGAAUGUAGUUAAUAUAUACAACGAUGCAUAUGCAUUUUUCAAGAGAAACCCUUCUCCUCGUGCUUGAGUUUUGUGGCGCCGAUGGAGCCAAACUUUGUAUAAAAUGAUUGUUUAUUCAAACAUGUUUUGUUAAGUGCAAGAGAACUUGCUUCAGCGCGAUGUUUGUAAUAUAUGCUUGUACUAAAGAAUCAUAUUGUUGUUGAAUUUAUAGGCUUGCACGUUGACGUGC
rnacentral:lncRNA from 1 species